UUCCAAGGAAAUUCUGUGCAGCUGAUCACUUUUCUUUGGGUUCAGCCAUUCAGCUACUUUUCAGUUCACCCCAGUGAGCACAUCCAGCCCUUCCAUCAACAGCGCUGAAAAUUUGGCUGCAAUUGCUUACAAAAGCAGCGACUUGUCUCAUAACACCCUCCUCCAUCCCCAGAAAUGUCCCCAGACAUCCCCCCAGAAAUGCCACUGCACCAAAAAAACACAGCUUACUUCUAGAGAAUGACGUGACUGAAAAAGCAAAGCAUUCACACUAAGGUGAGCCAGAAAUAUCGUUGGUCUGGAUCACAAGAAACAUGUUGCCAACCAGCGACAGUAUGAUGAUGGAGGUGAAUGGUGUCAUUGUGAUCUGGCACUGUUUUCACACAUUUGUAGUUUGCUAAAAGGCACUACAUAGGUGAGGAACAAAAGCACAGCACAAUCCUGGUUAUUUAACGUCACUGUUGAAUGAACAAGGGCAUCUUUCAGAUUCUUGGCCUUUGAACUGUUAUAAGAAUAUCAGCAAAAAAUAAUACUUCGACAUGUUUUCUUAACCAGGAUGCCACAGUGAAUUGUGUGGACCAGACAAGGUGGCUGAAUGGGAGUAAUCACACAGUGCUGGGCAGAGCAGUGUCUGAGGGGAAAAGAAACCAGGGAGCCUGAGGCGCUUGAACCAAGAACUGAACGACGCCAAUCCCAAAUAGUGCCGUGAGCUUAUGAUCAAGCCCUGUUUGUGAAGCUCUGACUCACCGAACAGUCUACCAGGACCCUGAAAGCAAACUGUGGGAAGAGCCCUGUGGAGCCGACAUAACAACUGACAACUUUGCUUCUUCCCCAAGACCACACUGGGACAGGAUGAAAACAGGAUCAGGGCUCUGCAGUGGAGCAGCAGCGUCGUGAUGCACCAAGGUGCACAGAAUGAAAGCAGAGAGCUACACAUAACAUGUCCAAAUCUUUGAAGCUGCAAAGGACUUUGAAACAAAUCCACAAAUUUGCCAUGUGGCAGUGGACAGAAGGCAAAGAGCCACAUUUUCCUUGCCUUUCCAGUGGAGCUAGAACUGUUCCCCAAGACAACAGUUUAAGAGACGGACAUGGCUGAACUUCUGACACAGGCACUGGUCUGACCACUAGGAGUUGUUACUGGCUUUUGGGGGAAAGUAAAACAUCCCAAUGAUCUCUGUUCCUCACCAGCCAUUUUCACCAUCUAAUAUCUUGGAACAUUUAAUUGUAACAGAACAUUUCAUGUGGCUCAUUCUGCAUUGAGAUAUUCUAGCACAUUUUUCAAGACAUAACACUAUGCAUUUCAAAUAAA
ensembl:lncRNA